UUGUAAAGAAAAAAUAAUCAUCUGGAAAAUAUAAUACUGUAGAAAGAAUAAGUAAAGAGAGAAUAGCUUGAAUUCAUUGGUGGGGAGCAAACUUGUAUUAUGAAGUCUGAUUAUUGAAGAGUGGGAAAAAAUAAUAGUAGUAAAUUAGAAAUGGAAAUAGAGAAAUAGUGUGAGUGUGCUUACUCUGAAAAUACAAUGAAUAAAUAAAUAAAACAUUUGUUUCCUCAUUUCUAUUUCAAUUCUAUUAUUAUUAUUUUUUUUUCACUUUUCCAAUGAUCAGAUUUUUCAUAGGAAUUUUGAGUGGAAUUUGAAAAUUAAUGACGAGUUAUGUAUCGAGAUAAUUAUAUAAUUGUACAUGUAUAUAAAUAAAAUAUAUAAUAAAUAAUUCAUACAUAUAAAAAUCUUAUUAAGAAUAACAUUAAUUUUCGCAUAAUAUGAUUAAACCAUAUUGAUAUGUACAAUCUUAUGUGAUUUCACAAUAUUGUAUACUGUAAUAUCUUAUCUUGAUUUUAUACGAGAUCAGAACUGGAUAAUUUACAUUAAUUUGAAAUAUGAAUUUUAAAAGAUAAAAUAUUUUAAAUUAUAUUAUAAAGUAAAAAAAUUAUAUAAAAAAUUGUUAUUUGUAAUAAUAGUCAAUAAUCAUAGUCAAUAAUCAUAAAAUUCAUCUUAUGAUUGAAAUUGUCUGUUAACAAUAUCGAACUGUUUUAAUUUUUUAAUAUUAAAAGACAUAAAUAUUUUGAUAUUUAUUAUAAUAUUAUAAUAAAUUGAUAAUUGAUAAAAAUUGAUUUGUAAAAAAAUAUUUAAAAUAUCAAAAAAUAAUAGAAUUUAUUUAUUGUAAAAUCAUAUUUCGAAAUAUAUAGAAUAUUAAUAUGUUCAGAUAUCUUCGAAGAAUUGAUUGUAAGAAUCAAAAUAAAUGCAAAAAUCAAUAUACAAAAACUUACUUAUUAAGUUAUAAGCAUUUAAAUUUAUGAGAACAAUAGAAUAGAAAACAAAAUGAAUUUAAUCUAUUUUUCUCUAACUUCAUUUAAUGCAAGAUUAAUUAUUACUAUAUUAUUCUUGAUAAAAGAAAUGAUAUCAUUUUAAAAUCGAACAAAAAUUAUAUUUCUAUUUUUAUAUUUUCAAAAAUAAGAAAUUUUGAAGAAAAUCAGUAUCUUAUUAUUUCAUAAAUUUAAUCUUCUAUAAAAUGUUCUGCUUUUUUAAAUUUAUAAUAAUAUAAAAUAAUAUUAUAACAUAAUAAAAUUAACUUUUAAUGAUAUAAUUAAUGUUUUAUUCACAUGUUCAAAAUUUGCAAUAUUUUCCUUUUUUCUUAAUUUAUAUAUACAUUUAUUUUUAAAAAUUUACAUUAUUAUUUAAUGAAAAUCCUAACGAAUGAAUUCAAAAUCAUAAGCAUAUUGAUUUCAUUUUAUUUCUAAAAUAUUAAAUUUUUACUAAAAUAUUACAUUUGUGAAUCAUUGAAAAUAAAGAAUAAAGAUAAAAUAAUGUAUAUUUUGAUUAUAAAGAGAUUCAAUAAAUAUAGAGAUUUCUCUAUUUAUUAAAAAGUGAAAUUAUUUGUUUUUAUAUACAAUUAUAAGACAUAAUAAAUAAUAGUAAUUUAUCUUCUCAAUUUUUGCAAAAAUUAUAAAAGAAUUUUGUAAAUUAAUAUAUAUAUAUAGUAUUUAAUUUAAAUUAUGUUCUAUUUUCAAAAAUAUUGUUAUAUUUUUAAAAAUAUAUUAAAUACCAGUAUUAAAUACCAGUAUUAAUCAUUAUGCUAUUUUAGCAUUAAGAUCUUAUGAAUUAAUUUAUUAUAACAUUGUCUUUUAACACAAUUUAGUGUUUAUAAUUUAUUUUUCUUGUGAAUUAAAUUAUUAAUUAUUCUCGCUUAUAUGUCUAUUUAAAUCCUUUUGUUUAAUGUUAAAAAUUUUAUUUUUUUUUUACUUCUAUUAACUUAGACGUUUGAUUAACAUUUUAAAAAAUUGUAAUUUCAUUUACAAAAUUAUUUAUUUUACUUUACACUAAUAUUUGUUUAAAUCAAAUUUGUAAUUUUAAGUAAAUUUAAAAAAUUUUUUAAAUGUAAACAAUAUAACCUUAAAUUUAAGUUCAUAUAUAUCUUCAUAUAUUGUUUAUAUAUUAUUUUUAUUUAUUUAUAAUAUUUAUACAUUAUUUAUAUAUGAUUAUUAAAAAAAUUAUAUAUUUUAUAUACAUGUAUAUUUCAGCUAAUUUUAUAAUUAUAUUUGUUUUUCCAUUUAUCACCAUAGUAAAUAGAAUUCACACUUCAAUGUUGCCAAGUUUUAUAUUAUAGCUACCAAGAAUUGUCAUUUUGAAGUAAAGUUCGAAGAAAAAUUUACUAUUGUAAUCAGUGUAUUUAUGAUAUGAUUAUACUGUGGAAAUAGAAAUUAUUAUAUAGAUAUAAAAUAUAGAAGUAGAGAAUGAUAGUGGAAAUGAUAUGAAAUAUGAAGUAGUCAUUAGGGAAUUGUUUGAGCAAUAUUGGCCAAUAUAAAAAUAUAAAAAAAAAUAUAAAAAAAAAUAUUGCAUGAAAGAAGUCUAUAUCUUAUUUAAAAGUAUGUUAGUAUUAUACAUAUACUUAUAUUGAUUAUAAUUAGUAGUGUCUGGUACCCGAAAUUCCACUUGGAUCGAACCAAGAAAAAAUCGAACGGGGUUGACCGGUAUUUGUUGAUACUAUGUCGAUAUAUAUAUAUACUUUAUUGUCCUUUAUUGUUAAUAAAUACUUUAAUUGUCCGAGAUUUUCAGGAUAAUCUUUAGUAAUUUCCAUUUCCAAUUUUUUGAAAAAUAAUUACUUUUCAUCUUUAAUCAGCUCAACGUAAUAUAUUGUAUACAUAAUACAUAAAUAUAAUAGUGUUCGAAUAAAAA